rnacentral:rRNA from 1 species
AUGCAUGUCUCAAGAUGUGAUGAUAAGGAACAACGAGCAAGGCGACUGCAAGCCGACCAAGUGCGCAGUCAGGAAGAGACCAUCUUGUACAGUAAUUUCUUCUCGGACUAUAUGCUGGUGUCAUGGCGUCACCACCGUGGAGCCGUCGCCACGGCCGGCCGCCCGCUCCUAUGUGAUUGGUGGCUUCCUACGAUGAUGUAUGGAACUAUUAUACUAAACAUACCGCAUGCUCAACCAGCCGCUGUCAACAUGCGCUCUCCACCACGGCCGCCACUGCCGCCGUUGAAGAGCUCACCAGUGCCUGCUACAUCGACCCUAUAUGAUCUUGGACGUGUCCACCCUAGCUAUCAUCACUCCAAGAAGGAUUGGCCGGUGCUGCCGGCUGGCGUCAAGUUCGAUCCCACGGAUCAGGAGCUGAUCGAGCACCUUGAGGCCAAGGUGACUGCUGACAGCGCGAGAUCUCACCCUCUCAUCGAUUUGUUCAUACCAACCAUCGACAGCGAGCACGGCAUAUGCUACACCCAUCCUGAGAAACUUCUAGCACAAUUCCAGGGCAUUCAAAGGGGCACGUGGACGCGUUGCAAGAUACAGUCGGAGUGCGGCAUGCACGCGAUGUGGCACAAGACCGGCAAUACCUUGCCGAUGGUGGUCAACGGCCGGCAGACGGGCAACAAAAAGGUUCUGGUGCUGCACACCAACAAGAACUUCGACCAGCAGAGGACCAACUGGGUGAUGCACCAGUACCACCUCGGUGACCUGGAGCAAGAGAAGGAGCGAGAGGUGGCCUCUGCAAGAUUUUCUACCAGACGAACACUAGGGCCAGGAGUAAAAAGAUUAUAA